UCCAGGUUGCGCUGCUCCUUGUCCUGGCUCCGGCAGCCGUGCGACCGCCCGCGGCUGCUCGACGCGCCAUGGCCGGGGUCGUAGAAGCCGAACGGAGACGACGACGCCGACGGCUGAGAGAAGCUGAGCAUCCCGUUGCGAGUCCACCGCUGCAUGAUGCCUGAUCUGCCUGAAGAUUUCAACAGAGCCCGAUGGUUGUCCUUGUGGCUUGUGCUACCUGCAUUUGGCUUCGAAUUGAAUCAUGUGGAAGAAAACGUACGGAUAAGGAUCGGAUCAAUGCAAUCCUUGUGCUAAAUGCUCGGGGUCUGGCAAUUUCAUGUCCAGAGGAUGAUCAUGGAUUAUUCAUUGUUUCAGAAAAAAUCUGAAAGCCUGUUAAGUCACUGCCUAGUACUACACAUUCUGGCUUUAUUCUGUCAGUAGAAAUACUAACAGUAUCUGAUAAUGGGCAUUACCUUUUUCUAUUCCUCAAAUUCGACUGCAAGAUGAUAAACAUCAUUGAAUCAAAUGGAAACAAAAUAAUCCCAGAUGAUGAUCCGUUCUUUGAAAUGGCGAAAUGUCAGGUAAAUCAACAUUCGACAGUGAGGCAGCAGAUCAGAUUUACUGAACCAUUAGUUGUCACAAAUCACAAUACUGUGCAAAUGUUUAUGAUACGAAAAGGAAGAAACCAAACUACAAACAUCUGGAAAUAUAUAUGUGCAGUUUUUGCAGGUUAUUGACGCAGGGAACACUUGCAAUAUGAAAAAUGUCAAGAAGAAAACGAAAACUUGAACAGCUCAAAGUAUAUAUGCUGCUUACCUUAUAAACUCCCCCAAGGUAUGCGACUCUGACGCUAGCUCUCUUCUCUUGGUCUGAAAGGCUUGGGCGCGCUCUUAGAUGGUUAUGUGGUGAAGGACACAACUAGGGGCUCAGCUAUUUAUAAUCACAAGUUCACAACACUUGGUGAAAACCUCCUACCUAAUCUGUCUGGACUGUCUAGCAUUCGCCAAUGAGGUGAGAAACUUUUCCUGGUCAAGGAUGAUGGACUAAUUAGUGCCACUGGGUUAAAAGAAGGGUGACCAAAGUUAGAUGUAUCCAGCUCAUGUGAUGGCACUCUUAGUACUAAAUUAAUCGGAGGCGCGUGGCUGACACGGUAAGGCUUGGAUAGUCUGAUGCGUUAUGCGUAGCAGGAAUCUUUAGGCACUAUAUUACUCGCGAGGCAUGUGGCGAGUACGAUGAUGCGCUCUAAAAAUGCAGAUGAUGCAGUUGUGAGCACAAGGAAGGCCAAGGGAAUCAGAUAGCCUGAAUUGAAGUCCUUACUUAAUUUGUGCUCUGUUACUGGGACUGGCCUUAUUUAAACUGAAUUAGGAGGAGAGUGACUGAAGUAAAAUUACACCACAUAAGUAGAGUUCUUGAUUACUAUCUAUGGAGAAUAAUAUAAGUUAGUAAGGAUUUUCUUUUCGAACGAACGGACACAAGAUUGUGCCUAUUUUAUUGGUAAAGAAGGGUGAUUAGAACUCAGCUAGCUGGUCAUAGAGCAAGUAAACCAAUAAUCUCGAUCUAACAAGGACGCUAGAUCUUUUGUGCCUACUGAAAUUCAGGCUGUGUAUCCCAGUAAACAAAGAGUCAAGUAUUUUGUAGUCCUUUACUUCUAUUCAAUAAGUGGGUUCGUUCUGUAGGUGCGUUAUUACAUCUGCAGAAUUUUCCUAGAUGUUGUGGUUGCAGUUGUUUUACUUCGAUGUCUUUUCUCCUUUUUGUUCUAAGUGGUGAUGUUCUCUGUACUUUGACCCUACACCAUUUGGGAGACAGAAAUAUGCCCAUAUCAGUUUUUCAAAAAUUCUGGUAUCAGUUCUAUGUACUGUGCCAUUGAUGGUA